AUCGAAUUGUUAUUUCACUAUUUCACUUUCAUUAUUGAUUGAACAGAAAAAAAAAUCAAACUUUAGAUUUUUUAUAUAUCUCGUAGCUAGUGCCCCUUUAAGAGUCUGAGACUUUCAUACUCUUGAUAGUGUGUUUCAAUUCAAUUCAGAAUAAAUCCAUAAAUGAAAAUCAAAUUUAAUUUUUGAAGAAAUAAAACUAAUUGAUUCCACCUUGGUAUAGAAUGCAAAGUUCAUUAUAUGCUAUAAAUUUAUUCUAUUAGUAUUUCCUUUUUCAUUUACAAGGUAUUGUUUUAGAUGAAAUAGUAGACAAGUUCUUCACAUUUUAGAUUAUUGUACAUGUAUAAUCUAUCUGUAUAUUAUUUUCUGCAUGCUGUAAAAGUAGUAUUGUUCGGUGUAGAGAAGUUAUUUAAGUGAAUGAUUUUUCAGAGGGCUGGAAGAUGUAUUAUGUCUGUAUUUUAACUGACUUUUAAACUUGUUAAUAUGCUUAAAGCUAUUUUUAUAGUCUUAUUUAAUGCCAUAUUUUAUUAUAUACUUGUAGAUUCUGUGAUAUUUCAAAGUUGAUACUGCUGCAAUUGAGAUCAUACAUUACUGCCUUUUUUUUUUAUCAUAUAGUUUUCCAAAUGAUUUAUUUAUAUGUACCAUUGCAUAGUUAAUUUAUUUUUGAAUAAAAUU
rnacentral:lncRNA from 1 species